CAUAAAAUGGUUUCAGGGUCCUAAAAUCUAACAUGGACCUUAUAAUGGAAAGGUGUGGGCAGCAAGCCACCCAGGUGCCGAGGUAAGAGACUGAAGGCACAAGGUGUUCCAGUAUAAUAAAGAAAAUAUAUACAAUAAGAAUAGUUAUACUAGAAAUAGAUUAUAGAUAUGAUGAUAUAUGAAUAUUAUUAAUCAUUAGUUUGUAGCAUUACUCUUUAUUCCAAUAUUAUAAUAAUCUUUGUUCUACAAUUAUAACCUAGGAAAAACCAGGCCAUACAGAGACAGGAGCUGAAGGGACACGGUGAGAAGUGACCAGAAGACAAGAGUGUGAGCCCUUUGUCACGCCCGGACAGGGCCGCUAGAGGGUUCCUUGGUCUAGUGGUAGCGCCAGUGCCUGGGAAGGCACCCGUUACUUAGCAGACUGGGAAAGGGAGCCUCCCUUUCGCCCAGGGAGUUAGAGAAGACUCUGCUCCACCACCUCUUGUGGAAGGCCUGACAUCAGUCAGGCCCGCACGCAGCCAUCCAGAGGCCUAAACAUGUCCCUGUGAUGCUGUGCUUCAAUGGUCACACUCCUGGUCCACUUUCAUGUUCCGCCCUGUACACCUGGCUCCACCUUCUAGAUAGCAGUAGCAAAAUUAAUGAAAGUAUUAAAGUCUUUGAUCUCUCUGAGGAAUACAUAGAAGAAAUAAUGAUGUAAGCUGUCCCCUCUCUCUCUCUGCCUCGGCUACCAAAUAGGGAAGGGCCCCCUGUCUGGUGGACACAUGACUUGCGUGACCUUACCUAUCAAUGGAGAUGACUCACACUCCUUA
rnacentral:lncRNA from 10 species